GAAAAAGGAAAAGAAGAAGGGAAAAAGAAAAGGAAAGGAGGGAUAUUUGCACGAAUUGGAGCUCAAGUGUGGGGAUUUAUUCAUUUCAAAUUUUCAGCAAGGAGGUAACGAGGCGAUUGGAAACGUCUAUCAGCCUAUCUAGCUUGUAGCUCAUACCUUGUGAGUGGAAAAAACUUAUUUUUCAGAAAUAAGUCUUCAUUAAAUUUUAAAGUUAUUUAUUGUAUAAAGUUGACUUCAUAGCAUGAUUUUUAGAAUAAAUUGGAUUUUAUUAACAAUUGCU